GUGUCAGCCGCCGCGGUAAUACAGGGGGAGCAAGCGUUAACCGGAAUGAUUGGGCGUAAAGCGUCUGUAGGUGGCUUUUUAAGUCUACUGUCAAAACCCAGAGCUUAACUUUGGACCGGCAGUGGAAACUGAGGAGCUUGAGUGCGGUAGAGGCAGAGGGAAUUCCUAGUGGAGCAGUGAAAUGCGUAGAGAUUAGGAAGAACACCCGUGGCGAAGGCGCUCUGCUGGGCCGCAACUGACACUGAGAGACGAAAGCUAGGGGAGCAAAUGGGAUUAGAAACCCCUGUAGUCC
rnacentral:rRNA from 1 species